CCCCAAAUCGCUCUCAAAUUUAUUUUAAUAUCAGUUUUCUUAAUCCACAGCUGGCAAAUCUUGCUGUCAAUCCAUUUACAAACAUACACUUCACAUUAGUAUUGCUAACAUAAAUGUGUACACAUAUAUACAGAAAUAGUAACUAUUUAUAUCAAAGUACACUUGUCUGAAUGACAUAGCAGCUUAUCAAAUAAGAAUUCAAUUCUAACUUAGGAAUCAUUUCACAUACUUAAACCUGCCAGUGAUUUCUCUCUUUACACUUUAAUAAGUUCUUCCUUAUUUGCUUCAUUCUAACCUUAACCUUCUGAGUGUCAGUCAGGGGUGAGUGACCCAUGCACCAGCACUAAAAGGGUUAAUGGUCAAACGAACACCAGCAAUAAAUAAAAUACACAAAAGCAUAUGGCAUGGUAUUCAAAGGUGAAACAUUCAACAGCAAAUUGAGUGAUAUGGUUUAACACCUUGUCACCGGGAAAGCACUGACAAUAAAUAACGUUUU